rnacentral:rRNA from 1 species
GUGCCAGCAGCCGCGGUAAUACGUAGGGUCCAAGCGUUAAUCGGAAUUACUGGGCGUAAAGCGUGCGCAGGCGGUUGUGCAAGACCGAUGUGAAAUCCCCGGGCUUAACCUGGGAAUUGCAUUGGUGACUGCACGGCUAGAGUGUGUCAGAGGGGGGUAGAAUUCCACGUGUAGCAGUGAAAUGCGUAGAGAUGUGGAGGAAUACCGAUGGCGAAGGCAGCCCCCUGGGAUAACACUGACGCUCAUGCACGAAAGCGUGGGGAGCAAACAGGAUUAGAUACCCUGGUAGUCCACGCCCUAAACGAUGUCAACUAGUUGUUGGGGAUUCAUUUCCUUAGUAACGUAGCUAACGCGUGAAGUUGACCGCCUGGGGAGUACGGUCGCAAGAUUAAAACUCAAAGGAAUUGACGGGGACCCGCACAAGCGGUGGAUGAUGUGGAUUAA